AUUUAUUUAUAUUAAGAUAAUUAUUCUUUUGGGAAAUAGAAAAUUUUCAGAACCACUGAGGUGGAAUUUAGAGUUUUGAUCAGUGUAAGCAUUAUUUUAUUAGUCAUCACAUUAAAUUGAAGCUAUUUGAAUCUACUUCUGAUGGUUUAUAUUUGUUCAAGACAGAUAAUGCUUUAUGAAUGUAGAUAUGUGAAAAGCCUUGCAACGUUGCAGGUUAUUCGGGUUUAAUGUUUAUGGUUGUCAGAUUGAAACUACUGAAUGCAAAUGUCUCUCAUGUGUUCAUACCAUCAGGAAUGAUUUUCAGGACACAAAUGCUAGUUGAAAGCAUGUGCUCAGUCAUUUCUGUAGUGGAUUCUUUUUCAUUCUUGAGGCAUGGCUGACAACCUCAACAUCAAACUGAUGGUGAGUCACCAGACCUUUAUAAAAUAUAGAGCUUGAUCUAGAAAGCAAAAACAAAUAGUUGGUCACCAUAGGUACUUAGACUACUGCUGGUAAGCAAACCCUAUUCAUAAACACUAUCACUUUAGGGAGAAACUUGUCCCAGAUUUUCAAUAUACAUUCUAUUGUCUAGAUUUUUGAACAUUUUAAUAAUGAAUAUAGCUUCUUAUCUGUUAACAGGAAUAUUUCAUGUUAGGAAACCAAGACACUUAGAAUUACUUGUCUUGGUUUCCUCACAAUUAACAGUAAACAUUUUGGCCUGAAGUAGAUAAUUUCUAUAUUUUAACUGGCCAGCAUCAAUUUCCAUUUCUUAUCAGUACCUUGAUUUUCUUUUGAAAAAGGAUCUCUUUCCCGUUCCGUGUGGUCUGGAUGGUGAAGUAAAUCACAUCAUACUUCUUUUCGACUUAGGGAAGCUGAAGGAAUCCCCACAUCUCUAUACACAGGUAAUCAAGUUUCCCACAGAACUUCUUUUUGAAGAAGCUAGGAAGAUAUUUACACUUAGUUUUUUCAGCCUGGAAUCGCUCAUUCAGCUUACCUACGGAAUCUACUUUGUGCUAAUUAUCACAAGUCAUAAAAUCUGUUCCAUAAAACUCCUCCAGUCUGCAAUAUUGACUUUCCUGUCUACUAAUUUUAUUCUGUCUCUUGAUUGAUCUGAUUUGCUCUUUAGAUUCAGUAUAGUUUUCUUGCUAAAGACCUGGACAAUAAAUAUUAUGGUCCUAAAUCUCAGGUAUGUAGCAUCAGGCUUUGUUCUGGAGUAAUACUUCCUAGGUUAAUCUGGGUCAGUGCUUCCCAACUAUAGCUGUACACGAUAAAUAUCUGUAGAGCUUAAAAAGUACAGAUUAGCAGUUUCCAGCUCAGACCAAUUAAAGAAAUUUCUAGGGACUAGAUUCAAGCAUGGAGAUUUUAAAAAUCAGAGAUCAGUAUUAUUGACAGAGGCUCUGUGGCCCAAUAUGGUAACCUCUUCCCAUUCUAAAAGCAGAUAAAGGCCACCAUCCUCUGUUCUUUGUAACGGGGAGCUGGGAAGAAUCUGUAAUUUAGUGUAAAGGUAGAAAUUUCAAUUGAGGCAAUGUUCCAGUAAAGGAAUUCAUGUAAAAUAGAGGAAAAUAGGUUUACAAUGGUAAAAUAAAUAAUUCACAAAAAUUAGAAAAUCAUUGAUUCAGCUUAACUGUGUGUAGAGACAAACCAGAUUCCUAAAAUCUUACCUUUGUUUGGAAAUAAAACCUUUGUUUUGGAAACAAAGCUUUCUAAUAAUAUGCAAGCCUUUAAUUUUUCUCCAGAUCACCUCUAGUAGGGGACACUACCAAGACUUCUAGUUUUUGGAUGUUUGGUUAAAUUUUACUUUUCAAUUCAAAUUUUAAGUUUCAUCCAAUUAAACUUCAAUUUGUUAUUUUUUUUAGUACCAAACUAUUAAAAGGCUAUUAGAAACAUAUACUGGAUGGUUUCUAUUAGUGGCAUCAGUACAAUAAAUAAUGUGUUUCCAACAUUUUUGUUUCUGGGGAGCUCUGAAAGCUGAAAAGCUACAUCUCUGAACACAUUGUUUUUAUUUAGAGGACAAAAAUGAAAUAGGUUUGCUUUGAAAUUAGAUAUUGCUAAUCCUAUUUCCUAAAGUUGUUAACAGUGAGUCCCUGUUUACAAUUGGAUUAUCCACUGAACCAAGGUCUGCGUACCAGGUAUGAUGGAAAUUGAAAAAGCUUGUAUGACUAGCUGCCAUUGAUUUUAUGUUACUGCACAAUGGUAAAUGUGCCAUCUCUUUAACGCCACUCUAUGGCUCUAUUAAAGUACACUUUCAGGAUCAGAAGCACAUGAAAGUAAAUCAUUAAGUGAAGAGAAAAUUAAAAAUACAAUUAUUAAUGAGACUGACAAUCUUUGGCUGGCUCAAUAAUUAUUUACUUUUUAAAUUGAGCAUUUUAUACAAAUGUGCAGGUGUUAUCAAAGUUAUCAGGUUGUGCUGAGAGAUAAUUGCUCCUUUUAUGUUGUUUUUCUCACUGGUUAACAAAUGAAGCCUAAACUGAUCUAGUCCUCAUGUUAGAAUACAAGUGUUGUCUACAUUCCUCCUUUAUAAGGGUAUAUUAUUCAAGGUGCUCCCGUUGUGAUGGUUAAUAUUGUCAACUCGAUUGCAUUGAACGAUGCAAAGUAUUGUUCCUGGGUGUGUCUGUGAGGGUGUUGCCAAAGGAGUUUAACAUUUGAGUGAGUGGACUGAGAGAGGCAGACCCACCUGCAAUGUGGGUGGGCACCAUCUCAUCAGCUGCCUGCGUGGCUAGGAUAAAGCAGACUUGCUGAGUCUUCUGGCCAUCAUCUUUCUCCUGUGCUGCAUGCUUCCUGCCCUCCAACAUCAGACUCCAAAUUCUUCAGUUUUUGGACUCUUGGACUUACACCAGUGAUUUUUUUCCAGGGGCUCUCAGGCCUUCAGCCACAGACUGAAAGCUACACUGUUGGCUUCCCUGCUUUUGAGGUUUUGGGACUCAGAUUGGCUUCCUUGCUCCUUAGCUUGCAGACGGCCUAUUGUGAGACUUCACCUUGUAGUCGUGUGGGUCGAUACUCCUUAAUAAACUCGCCUUCAUAUAUACAUCUAUCCCAUUGCUUCUGUCCCUCAAGAGGACCCUGACUUACAUACCAGAGAACUAGAAUCAAUAGGAUAUAUACAUAUAGAAAAAGAUUUAUUUUAAGGAAUUGGCACUCACACAAUUAUGGAGGUUGGCUAGUCCCAUGAUCUGCAGGGUCAAUCAGCAGGCUUAAGACGCAGGAAGAGCUGAUGAUUAAGUUGAAGUAUGAAGGCAGGAAAACAUUGAGGCCCCAGUUCAAAGGCCAAUGGGCGGAAAUAAUUCUCUCUUACUUGGGGGGAAUGUCAGUCUUCUGUUCUAUUCGGGCCUUCAAUUGAUUAGAUGAGGCCCACUCAUGUUAUGGAAGCAAUCUGCUUUACUCAGUCUAUCAAUUAACAUGUUAGUCUUCAUCUAAAAAGACCCUUACAGACACACCUAAAAUAAUGUUUGAUCAAAUACCAAAGCACCUUGUGGGCCAGUCAAGCUGACACAUAAAAUUAACCAUUACAAGCAGUAAGGAUACAUACUCAUGAUAUGUUCAAUUAAAUUUCAUUAUUAAUUGGGAUUCAGAAAAGAUGGUUUGAAAUAUAUUAACAAUUUCCACAUUUAAAUAAUAGCUAUAAAUAUCCCAGCAAGACUUUCUGGCUGGAAGAGUGUUUCCAAACCUCAACCCUAAGCAUAGAACACAGAGAUACGUAACUCAAGCAGGAAGCGAUUUCUUCUUUGGUAGAAGUAUAAAAUCUCAAGUGCUGAUGUGGUCCUUUUGCCAGCAACUCUCAUAAAAGUUGGCCGAGCAUGGCGGCUCAUGCCUGUAAUCCCAGUACUUUGGGAGGCCAAGGUGGGUGGAUCACCUGAGAUCAGGAGUUCAAGACCAGCCUGACCAACAUGGAGAAACCCCGUAUAUACUAAAAAUACAAAAUUAGCCGGGUGUGGUGGCGCAUGCCUGUAGUCCCAGCUAUUCGGGAGGCUGAGGCAAGAGAAUUACUUGAACCAGGGAGGCGGAGGUUGCAGUGAGCUGAGAUCAUGGCACUGCACUCUAGCCUGGGUGACAGAGCGAGACACCAUCUCAAAAAAAAAAAAAAAAAAAGUUGCUUUAAACUUUUCGAGUUGUGACUGGUAUUACGGCCCUUUAAAAAUAAUUUUUGCAAACUUAAUUUUUCUCAAACCAUUGGUGGUAAUCAGCUUAUUUUAUAUGGCAC
rnacentral:lncRNA from 1 species